GUGGUAAUGCCGGAUGCUCCGACUCCUCGCAUGGGGUGUCGGGAAAGAUUUCAUCGGUAUGGGAUGGGGUCGCGUCCUAUCAGGUAGUCGGCGGGGUAACGGCCCACCGAGCCUACGACGGGUAGCCGGCCUGAGAGGGCGACCGGCCACAUUGGGACUGAGAUACGGCCCAGACUCCUACGGGAGGCAGCAGUGGGGAAUAUUGCACAAUGGGCGCAAGCCUGAUGCAGCGACGCCGCGUGCGGGAUGACGGCCUUCGGGUUGUAAACCGCUUUUGAUCGGGAGCAAGCCUUCGGGUGAGUGUACCUUUCGAAUAAGCACCGGCUAACUACGUGCCAGCAGCCGCGGUAAUACGUAGGGUGCAAGCGUUAUCCGGAAUUAUUGGGCGUAAAGGGCUCGUAGGCGGUUCGUCGCGUCCGGUGUGAAAGUCCAUCGCUUAACGGUGGAUCUGCGCCGGGUACGGGCGGGCUGGAGUGCGGUAGGGGAGACUGGAAUUCCCGGUGUAACGGUGGAAUGUGUAGAU
rnacentral:rRNA from 1 species